rnacentral:rRNA from 1 species
UCCCAGACUCCUACGGGAGGCAGCAGUGAGGAAUAUUGGUCAAUGGGCUUACGCCUGAACCAGCCAAGUCGCGUGAGGGAAGACUGCCCUAUGGGUUGUAAACCUCUUUUGUCAGGGAGCAAUUGGCGCUACGUGUAGCGUUAUCGAGAGUACCUGAAGAAAAAGCAUCGGCUAACUCCGUGCCAGCAGCCGCGGUAAUACGGAGGAUGCGAGCGUUAUCCGGAUUUAUUGGGUUUAAAGGGUGCGUAGGCGGGAUGCAAAGUCAGCGGUAAAAUACGGGGGCUCAACCUGCGUCCGCCGUUGAAACUGGCGUUCUUGAGUGGGCGAGAAGUACGCGGAAUGCGUGGUGUAGCGGUGAAAUGCAUAGAUAUCACGCAGAACCCCGAUUGCGAAGGCAGCGUACCGGCGCCCAACUGACGCUGAAGCACGAAAGCGUGGGUAUCGAACAGGAUUAGAUACCCGCGUAC